rnacentral:rRNA from 1 species
GCAGCUAAUUGCGCGUUGACAUGUGAACUGCAGGACACAUGAACAUCGACAUUUCGAACGCACAUUGCGGCCCUAGGACUUGUUCCUGGGCCACACCUGACUGAGGGUCGGUUGACCAAACUCAACGACCAGACUGUC